CCGCGUGGGGGAUGAAGGCCUUCGGGUCGUAAACCCCUGUAGGAGGGACGAUGUCCGCCUCUGGCGGAUGACGGUACCUCCAGAGGAAGCCCCGGCCAACUACGUGCCAGCAGCCGCGGUAAUACGUAGGGGGCGAGCGUUGUUCGGAAUCACUGGGCGUAAAGCGUGCGUAGGCGGCUGUGUAAGUCACAGGUGAAAUCCCUACUUCCAAGGUAGGAACUGCCUGUGAUACUGCACAGCUAGAGGGCAAGAAGGGGAAGCGGAACUCUGGGAGUAGCGGUGAAAUGCGUAGAUACCCAGGGGAACGCCAGUAGCGAAGGCGGCUUCCUGGCUUGCUCCUGACGCUGAGGCGCGAAAGCUAGGGGAGCGAUCGGGAUUAGAGACCCCGGUAGUCCUAGCCGUAAACGAUGGGUACUAGGUGUGGGGGGAGCAUUACCCUCCGUGCCGAAGCUAACGCGUUAAGUACCCCGCCUGGGGAGUACGGUCGCAAGGCUGAAACUCAAAAGAAUUGACGGGGGGCUGAACAAGCAGUGGAGCGCGUGGUUCAAUUCGAUGCAAAGCGAAGAACCUUACCAGGGCUUGACAUGCUGGUAGUAGCGACCCGAAAGGGAAGCGAUCCCAAUCUCUGAUUGGGAAGCCAGCACAGGUGGUGCAUGGCUGUCGUCAGCUCGUGCCGUGAGGUGUUGGGUUAAGUCCCUUAACGAGCGCAACCCUCGCCCUUAGUUGCUACCAGGUCCUUUUUUGGACGCCGGGCACUCUAAGGGGACCGCCGCCUU
rnacentral:rRNA from 1 species